rnacentral:rRNA from 1 species
GCUAUCGAGGUUCGACUAAGCCAUGCGAGUCGAAUGUAGCAAUACAUGGCGUACUGCCCAGUAACACGUGGAUAACCUACCCUUAGAACGGGGAUAAACCCGGGAAACUGGGUAUAAUACCCGAUAGAUCUCGACUGCUGGAAUGCAUCGAGCUCCAAAGCUCCGGCGUCUAAGGAUGGAUCUGCGGCCUAUCAGGUAGUAGUGGGUGUAGCGUACCUACUAGCCUACGACGGGUACGGGUUGUGAGAGCAAGAGCCCGGAGAUGGAUCCUGAGACACGAAUCCAGGCCCUACGGGGUGCAGCAGGCGCGAAAACUUUACAAUGCUGGAAACAGCGAUAAGGGGACCUCGAGUGCCAGGUUACAAAUCUGGCUGUCGUGAUGCCUAAAAAGCAUUGCAUAGCAAGGGCCGGGCAAGACCGGUGCCAGCCGCCGCGGUAACACCGGCGGCUCGAGUGGUAACCGUUAUUAUUGGGUCUAAAGGGUCUGUAGCCGGCCGGAUAAGUCUCUUGGGAAAUCUGGCAGCUUAACUGUCAGGCUUUCAGGGGAUACUGUCUGGCUCGAGGCCGGGAGAGGUGAGAGGUACUUCAGGGGUAGGGGUGAAAUCUUGUAAUCCUUGAAGGACCACCAGUGGCGAAGGCGUCUCACCAGAACGGACCUGACGGCAAGGGGCGAAAGCUAGGGGCACGAACCGGAUUAGAUACCCGGGUAGUCCUAGCCGUAAACGAUACUCGCUAGGUGUCGGCCACGGUGCGACCGUUGUCGGUGCCGUAGGGAAGCCGUGAAGCGAGCCACCUGGGAAGUACGGCCGCAAGGCUGAAACUUAAAGGAAUUGGCGGGGG